UACGAAGGGGGGCUAGCGUUGCUCGGAAUCACUGGGCGUAAAGCGCACGUAGGCGGACUCUUAAGUCGGUGGUGAAAUCCUGGAGCUCAACUCCAGAACUGCCUUCGAUACUGAGAGUCUCGAGUCCGAGAGAGGUGAGUGGAACUGCGAGUGUAGAGGUGAAAUUCGUAGAUAUUCGCAAGAACACCAGUGGCGAAGGCGGCUCACUGGCUCGGUACUGACGCUGAGGUGCGAAAGCGUGGGGAGCAAACAGGG
rnacentral:rRNA from 1 species